GAUAAACGCUGGCGGCGUGCCUUAUGCAUGCAAGUCGAACGGUACUUUGUUCUUCGGAACAAAGGAGAGUGGCAAACGGGUGAGUAACACAUAAGUAACCUGCCCCCAAGUAGGGGAUAACUCUGAGAAAUCGGAGCUAAUACCGUAUGUGAUAAUGGAGGUAAUGCUCCAUUAUUAAAGUCUUAGGGUGCUUGGGGAGGGGCUUGUGUCCGAUUAGCUAGUUGGUAGGGUAACGGUUUACCAAGGCGAUGAUCGGUAGCUGGUUUAAGAGGACGGUCAGCCACACUGGGACUGAGACACGGCCCAGACUCCUACGGGAGGCAGCAGCAAGGAAUUUUGUGCAAUGGGCGAAAGCCUGACACAGCAACGUCGCGUGAGGGAUGAAGGCCUUCGGGUUGUAAACCCCUUUUCUCAGGGAAGAAUAAUGACGGUACCUGAGGAAUAAGUCUCGGCUAACUACGUGCCAGCAGCCGCGGUAAUACGUAGGAGGCGAGCGUUAUCCGGAUUUACUGGGCGUAAAGAGGGCGUAGGCGGCUUUUCAAGUCGGAUGUAAAAUCUCCCAGCUUAACUGGGAGGGAUCAUUCGAUACUGUUGGGCUAGAGGGCAGCAGAGGGAGGUGGAAUUCCCGGUGUAGUGGUGAAAUACGUAGAUAUCGGGAGGAACACUAGUGGCGAAGGCGGCUUUCUGGGCUGUUACUGACGCUGAGGCCCGAAAGCGUGGGGAGCGAACAGGAUUAGAUACCCUGGUAGUCCACGCUGUCAACGAUGGAUACUAGGUAUAGGGAGUAUCGACCCUCUCUGUGCCGAAGCUAACGCGUUAAGUAUCCCGCCUGGGGACUACGGCCGCAAGGCUA
rnacentral:rRNA from 1 species